rnacentral:lncRNA from 1 species
GACCGAUGGAGCGCAGCCAAGCUGCAACUCUCAACAGCGCUGGGGGGCCUACUGGGUGCCGGCUUCGCCAUCUGUACCCAGUCCCCCAAGGGAGUAGAGGAGACGGCAGCCUGGGUCCUGCCCUUCACCUCUGGCGGCUUUCUCUACAUCGCCUUGGUGAACGUGCUCCCUGACCUCUUGGAAGAAGAGGACCCGUGCAAUAAGAUGCUCGGAUUCACUCUGUGACCGCAUAUGUGAGAGGCAGAGAGGGCGAGUGGCUGCGAGAGAGAAUGAGCCUCCCGCCAGACAGGAGGGAGGUGCGUGUGGAUGUAUGUGGUGUGCACAUGUGGCCAGAGGCGUGUGUGUGAGACCGACACUGUGAUCCCUGUGCUGGGUCCGGGGCCCAGUGUAGCGCCUGUCCCCAGCCAUGCUGUGGUUACCUCUCCGUGCCGCCCUGUCACCUUCACCUCCCGGAGUAAGCAGCGAGGAACAGCAGCACUGGUCCCAAGCAGAGGCCUUGCCCUGCUGGGACCCCGGGAGUGAGAGCAGCCCAAGGAUCCCAGGAUGCAGGGAACUCCAGAGCUGCCCACCUCCCACUGCCCCCUCAGCACACACACAGUCCCCAGGUGGCCUAGGGGCCAAGGCUGGGGCGGCUUUGGUCCCUUUUCCUGGCCCUUCCUUCCCCACUUCUAAGCCAAAGAAAGGAGAGGCAGGUGCUCCUGUACCCCAGCCCCACUCAGCACUGACAGUCCCCAGCUCCUAGUAGUGAGCUGGGAGGCGCUUCCUAAGACCCUUUCCUCAGGGCUGCCCUGGGAGCUCAUUCCUGGCCAACACGCCCUGGCAGCACCAGCAGCUCUUGCCACCUCCAGCUGCCAAACAGCAGCCUGCCGGGCAGGGAGCAGCCCCAGGCCAGAGAGGCCUCCCGGUCCAGCUCAGGGAUGCUCCUGCCAGCACAGGGGCCAGGGACUCCUGGAGCAGGCACAUAGUGAGCCCGGGCAGCCCUCCCCAGCUCAGGCCCCUCUCCUUCCCCAUUGAGGUUGGGGUAGGUGGGGGCGGUGAGGGCUCCACGUUGUCAGCGCUCAGGAAUGUGCUCCGGCAGAGUGCUGAAGCCAUAAUCCCCAACCAUUUCCCUUGGCUGACGCCCAGGUACUCAGCUGGCCCACUCCACAGCCAGGCCUGGCCCUGCCCUUCACCGUGGAUGUUUUCAGAAGUGGCCAUCGAGAGGUCUGGAUGGUUUUAUAGCAACUUUGCUGUGAUUCCGUUUGUAUCUGUAAAUAUUUGUUCUAUAGAUAAGAUACAAAUAAAU